rnacentral:rRNA from 2 species
UCUAGCAUGUGCGCGAGUCAUUGGGACUUUUUUUCAGGAAAGCCCAGAGGCGCAAUGAAAGUGAAGAUCGGCCUUUUCGGCUUGAUCGAGGGAGGAUGGCUCAUUGUUAUUUUUUAUAACUACGAACUCGCACUCCCGGGGCGUCUCGCGCUCAUUUCGAGCGGAGGCGCACCCAGAGCGUACACGCUGGGACCCGAAAGAUGGUGAACUAUGCCUGGUCAGGACGAAGUCAGGGGAAACCCUGAUGGAGGUCCGUAGCGAUUCUGACGUGCAAAUCGAUCGUCGGAACUGGGUAUAGGGGCGAAAGACUAAUCGAACCAUC